AGCGUACACGGUGGAUGCCCUGGCAGUCAGAGGCGAUGAAGGACGUGCUAAUCUGCGAUAAGCGUCGGUAAGGUGAUAUGAACCGUUAUAACCGGCGAUUUCCGAAUGGGGAAACCCAGUGUGAUUCGUCACACUAUCAUUAACUGAAUCCAUAGGUUAAUGAGGCGAACCGGGGGAACUGAAACAUCUAAGUACCCCGAGGAAAAGAAAUCAACCGAGAUUCCCCCAGUAGCGGCGAGCGAACGGGGAGCAGCCCAGAGCCUGAAUCAGUGUGUGUGUUAGUGGAAGCGUCUGGAAAGGCGCGCGAUACAGGGUGACAGCCCCGUACACAAAAAUGCACAUGCUGUGAGCUCGAUGAGUAGGGCGGGACACGUGGUAUCCUGUCUGAAUAUGGGGGACCAUCCUCCAAGGCUAAAUACUCCUGACUGACCGAUAGUGAACCAGUACCGUGAGGGAAAGGCGAAAAGAACCCCGGCGAGGGAGUGAAAAAGAACCUGAAACCGUGUACGUACAAGCAGUGGGAGCACGCUUAGGCGUGUGACUGCGUACCUUUUGUAUAAUGGGUCAGCGACUUAUAUUCUGUAGCAAGGUUAACCGAAUAGGGGAGCCGAAGGGAAACCGAGUCUUAACUGGGCGUUAAGUUGCAGGGUAUAGACCCGAAACCCGGUGAUCUAGCCAUGGGCAGGUUGAAGGUUGGGUAACACUAACUGGAGGACCGAACCGACUAAUGUUGAAAAAUUAGCGGAUGACUUGUGGCUGGGGGUGAAAGGCCAAUCAAACCGGGAGAUAGCUGGUUCUCCCCGAAAGCUAUUUAGGUAGCGCCUCGUGAAUUCAUCUCCGGGGGUAGAGCACUGUUUCGGCAAGGGGGUCAUCCCGACUUACCAACCCGAUGCAAACUGCGAAUACCGGAGAAUGUUAUCACGGGAGACACACGGCGGGUGCUAACGUCCGUCGUGAAGAGGGAAACAACCCAGACCGCCAGCUAAGGUCCCAAAGUCAUGGUUAAGUGGGAAACGAUGUGGGAAGGCCCAGACAGCCAGGAUGUUGGCUUAGAAGCAGCCAUCAUUUAAAGAAAGCGUAAUAGCUCACUGGUCGAGUCGGCCUGCGCGGAAGAUGUAACGGGCUAAACCAUGCACCGAAGCUGCGGCAGCGACGCUGAUGCGUUGUUGGGUAGGGGAGCGUUCUGUAAGCCUGUGAAGGUGUACUGUGAGGCAUGCUGGAGGUAUCAGAAGUGCGAAUGCUGACAUAAGUAACGAUAAAGCGGGUGAAAAGCCCGCUCGCCGGAAGACCAAGGGUUCCUGUCCAACGUUAAUCGGGGCAGGGUGAGUCGACCCCUAAGGCGAGGCCGAAAGGCGUAGUCGAUGGGAAACAGGUUAAUAUUCCUGUACUUGGUGUUACUGCGAAGGGGGACGGAGAAGGCUAUGUUGGCCGGGCGACGGUUGUCCCGGUUUAAGCGUGUAGGCUGGUUUUCCAGGCAAAUCCGGAAAAUCAAGGCUGAGGCGUGAUGACGAGGCACUACGGUGCUGAAGCAACAAAUGCCCUGCUUCCAGGAAAAGCCUCUAAGCAUCAGGUAACAUCAAAUCGUACCCCAAACCGACACAGGUGGUCAGGUAGAGAAUACCAAGGCGCUUGAGAGAACUCGGGUGAAGGAACUAGGCAAAAUGGUGCCGUAACUUCGGGAGAAGGCACGCUGAUAUGUAGGUGAAGUCCCUCGCGGAUGGAGCUGAAAUCAGUCGAAGAUACCAGCUGGCUGCAACUGUUUAUUAAAAACACAGCACUGUGCAAACACGAAAGUGGACGUAUACGGUGUGACGCCUGCCCGGUGCCGGAAGGUUAAUUGAUGGGGUUAGCGCAAGCGAAGCUCUUGAUCGAAGCCCCGGUAAACGGCGGCCGUAACUAUAACGGUCCUAAGGUAGCGAAAUUCCUUGUCGGGUAAGUUCCGACCUGCACGAAUGGCGUAAUGAUGGCCAGGCUGUCUCCACCCGAGACUCAGUGAAAUUGAACUCGCUGUGAAGAUGCAGUGUACCCGCGGCAAGACGGAAAGACCCCGUGAACCUUUACUAUAGCUUGACACUGAACAUUGAGCCUUGAUGUGUAGGAUAGGUGGGAGGCUUUGAAGUGUGGACGCCAGUCUGCAUGGAGCCGACCUUGAAAUACCACCCUUUAAUGUUUGAUGUUCUAACGUUGACCCGUAAUCCGGGUUGCGGACAGUGUCUGGUGGGUAGUUUGACUGGGGCGGUCUCCUCCUAAAGAGUAACGGAGGAGCACGAAGGUUGGCUAAUCCUGGUCGGACAUCAGGAGGUUAGUGCAAUGGCAUAAGCCAGCUUGACUGCGAGCGUGACGGCGCGAGCAGGUGCGAAAGCAGGUCAUAGUGAUCCGGUGGUUCUGAAUGGAAGGGCCAUCGCUCAACGGAUAAAAGGUACUCCGGGGAUAACAGGCUGAUACCGCCCAAGAGUUCAUAUCGACGGCGGUGUUUGGCACCUCGAUGUCGGCUCAUCACAUCCUGGGGCUGAAGUAGGUCCCAAGGGUAUGGCUGUUCGCCAUUUAAAGUGGUACGCGAGCUGGGUUUAGAACGUCGUGAGACAGUUCGGUCCCUAUCUGCCGUGGGCGCUGGAGAACUGAGGGGGGCUGCUCCUAGUACGAGAGGACCGGAGUGGACGCAUCACUGGUGUUCGGGUUGUCAUGCCAAUGGCACUGCCCGGUAGCUAAAUGCGGAAGAGAUAAGUGCUGAAAGCAUCUAAGCACGAAACUUGCCCGAGAUGAGUUCUCCCUGACUCCUUGA
rnacentral:rRNA from 1 species